UAGUCCACGCCCUAAACGAUGCUUACUAGUUGUUAGCGAUAUACAGUUAGCGACAAAGAGAAAUCAUUAAGUAAGCCACCUGGGGAGUACGUUCGCAAGAAUGAAACUCAAAGGAAUUGACGGGGGUCCGCACAAGCGGAGGAGCAUGUGGUUUAAUUCGAUGAUACGCGAGGAACCUUACCUGGGCUAGAAUGCGAUUGACCUCUUCAGAGAUGAAGAUUUCUUCGGACAUGAAGCAAGGUGCUGCAUGGCUGUCGUCAGCUCGUGCCGUGAGGUGUUGGGUUAAGUCCCGCAACGAGCGCAACCCUUACUGUUAGUUGCCAGCAUGUAAAGAUGGGGACUCUAACAGGACUGCCUACGCAAGUAGAGAGGAAGGUGGGGACGACGUCAAGUCAUCAUGGCCCUUACGCCCAGGGCUACACACGUGCUACAAUGGGAGGUACAGAGGGUAGCUACCUGGUAACAGGAUGCCAAUCUCAAAAAGUCUCUCUCAGUUCGG
rnacentral:rRNA from 1 species